UACGAAGGGGGCUAGCGUUAUUCGGAAUUACUGGGCGUAAAGCGUGCGCAGGCGGUUUUGUAAGUCUGACGUGAAAUCCCCGGGCUCAACCUGGGAAUUGCGUUGGAGACUGCAAGGCUAGAAUCUGGCAGAGGGGGGUAGAAUUCCACGUGUAGCAGUGAAAUGCGUAGAGAUGUGGAGGAACACCGAUGGCGAAGGCAGCCCCCUGGGUCAAGAUUGACGCUCAUGCACGAAAGCGUGGGGAGCAAACAGG
rnacentral:rRNA from 1 species